rnacentral:rRNA from 1 species
UACAGAGGUUCCAAGCGUUGUUCGGAUUCACUGGGCGUAAAGGGUGCGUAGGUGGUGAGGUAAGUCGGAUGUGAAAUCUCCGGGCUCAACCCGGAAAUGGCAUUGGAAACUACCUUGCUGGAGGAUUUGAGGGGGGAUUGGAAUACUUGGUGUAGCAGUGAAAUGCGUAGAUAUCAAGUGGAACACCAGUGGCGAAGGCGAAUCCCUGGAAAAUACCUGACACUGAGGCACGAAAGCUAGGGGAGCAAACAGG